AUAAUGAUACUCCUGUACAGUCACAGUCCGAGCGUUCAAAGCGUCGCAGGCAAUGAGUACAGUUGGACGAGAACCGUGCAAGGGUGAAAUUCCCGUGA
rfam:Clostridium difficile 630 complete genome